UCGUCUCACCAUUAUUUGCAAUAUUUACGUCUGGUCUGGAGUUGGCCGAAGAAAUAAUCAAAUAUUUAGUUUUGCUAAUGUUUAGCUUAAGUUGUUUAAAAUUUAACCGAUUCGCCAGAUAAUGUAAAUCUUGGUUUAAAAGUGUUUCAACAUGAUUUGGAUUUUUAGCCGCAAUGAACAGAACAGUGUCGUCGGCAAAUAAAUUUACAUCACAAAACCGUAAAACUCGCUUCAUGUCAUUAAUAUAAAUUAUAAACAAAAUGGGCCCUAAAACACUUCCUUGCGGUACACCCAGUGUAUUAGCAAUGGAAACUGAUUCAGAAUCAUAAAAACGAGUCUUCUGAGUUCUAGCACACAAAUAGCUUUCAAACCAUUUAUAUGCUGUCCCUACGAUACCAAAGCGCUUUAGUGUUUGCAACAAUAAGGGCCUAGAAAUUGUUUUAAAAGCGCGUUUUAGAUGCAGAAACACCGCAAAAAUAGUUUCUUUAGCCUCGAUUUUCUCUUUCCAUUUUGCUAACACCAAAUUCAAUGCAGACUCACAAGAGUGUCCCUCUCAAUAACCUGAUUGUUCUGGGAUCAGCAAAUCAUUACUGUUUAAAUAAUGCAUUAGCUGGCCUUUAACAAUUAGCUCCAAAAUUUUCUCUAAUGUGUGCAGUAUAUUAAUGGGGCGGAACUCUUCGGCUUUAUCCGUCCCAGUUAUUUUGGGGAUAGGAACCACAAGAGAUUCCUUCCAAACUUCAGGCACGUGCCCUGUUUGUAAAGAUUCGUUGACAAGGUCCAGCAAGUCGUGUCCAAUUACAUGAAAGCAAUCUUGUAUUACUUUUGCGUUGACAUUGUCGAUACCAGCCUAUCUCUUCGAAAAGAAACAAAUAUCUUUCAACUCUGCAAAAGUAAUAGGAUGAAAGCCAUCAAAUCUACAGUUAUUAUGGAUCGACUGUAUUACCUCGUCAGGUUCAUUGACCACAUCAAUACUUUGAUUGAUCGAUUGAACACUUUCAACGAAAUAACUGUUAAAUUUAUUUGCAAUAACUCGCGCGGAGUUUUCUUCAAUACCAUCAAAAGUUAUGGACUGUGAUAAUGUAUUAUUACUUUUCAUUAAUUUUUUUAAAGUUUUCCAUAACUCUUUGCUGUUAUUUUGAUGUUGAUCGAUCUUCCGUUGUAUAUAUGCACAUCUAACCUUUUUCAAGGUGCGUGAAUAUAUGUUUCGCGCCCCGGUGUACCUGUUCCAAUCAUCGUUAUCAUUACUUCUACAAAAAUUUUUAUAACAUUUAUCUCUUUUACGUUUUAAACGCACAAGAUCUAAAGAGUACCAGCUGUUCGAAUUUUGUAACUCAACAAAUUUUUCAGAAACUAGAGUCUUCCAACGUAUUGGUUAGUACAGCUGCUUUAUUGUCCAAAUCUCCAGUUAUUGGAUGAAAAUUCAAACUUCUUGAAACAAGCUGAGACAUUGCUUGUUUCGAAUAACUAUUCCAGCACUUUAUUUUUACUUUAUCCUCUCGGUUUUGAUCGUUUUCAAUUGAAAUACAAAUUGUCUCAUGGUCUGUUAUUUUAUAAUCGGCCUCAGUGAAGGAAUUAACAUUAUCAAAAUUGGAGAACACAUGAUCAAUCAAGGUACGAGUGCCUGGAAAUUCUUGUAAAUUGAAAAACUGUUUGUCUUAGAUUUAAAAAAAAACCGACUAAUUGCUUGAAUUGAUUCGAGUUCGAUCCACCAAGCCAAUCAAUAUUGAAAACACCAGCAAUUACGUUUAAUUUGUUCAAAUCAACAAAAUUUUCCCACCAGUUAUCUAAAAUUUCCAAAAAACGCUGGUCAUUUGAACUGGGGGAAUGGUAGACUAUUCCAAAAUUUCCCAUCGUCAUGCCUCUCUGAACUGAUAUUCCCAGGAACCAAUUGUUUUCAACAGAUUCGUUUGAUAGAAUGUUUAACUUGACUGAUUCCUUGGCGUAAAUAGCAACCCCACCAGUAUGUCUGGAAUGUGAAAGGCAAAAAGCAACUUUAUAACCCGGAAUACUAUAUUGAUCAAAUGCAUCAGCUUCCACUAUGUGAGUUUCAGCCAGCAAUACUAACAUUGGUCUUUUUUUUCCACAAAGCAACAUAAUUUGUGGAUAAACCAGCAAGAUUAAGAUAAACUAUUUCUAAUUUCCUUUCACAUUGCAUUUUCUUCAGCUGCUAUUUACUUGACAACAUGUUGCUUUUUCUUUUUUCAAACAGUCUCCGAAACACUGGACACUGCGAACUUGAUGCUGGAUGUUUCGCGUCCAAAUUCAUUUUUAACUUAUUAUGUUUUAAACAAUUCACGCAAUUAUAAUCAGUUGAAGCGCAUUCCGAUGUUUUGUGCUUUUCACUGCAUUUAGAGCAUGUCUCAGGAUUAACACACUCUGUGCUUUUAUGACCAAAUUCGCCACAUUUAAAGCAACGCAAUACAUUUAUGGCCUCUCGUACAAAAACUCGUAAUUCAUCGGAGGAAUAUAGAUCACUCAUUCCCACAAUCUUCAACUUAGGCUUCGCGAUUGUGGGAAUAACAGCAUUAUAUCGUUCACCCAGGUUGCUUUCAAUGUCUUUUUUAACAACCUCAACAUUAUCCCCUACUGCACACUCUGCAAUUAUCGAGCCAUUCUUACCGUUUCUAAAGUUUCGAUUUUGUGGAUUUUUGGAUCUAAUGUUUUUUUCAAAAAACAUCUAGUAUCUUCACUAGAUUGAGAAGUCUCGACCGGUUUGAUCACAAUGACCGGCCGAGCCUUACGGUUUUCCUUUUUCUGUAAUUAAUUUGAUAUACUCCCAGUCGAACCCGCUAAAACAUUCGCGUAUGAUGGUAUACUUUCUGAAAAAACCUCGUCAUCACGUACUAGUAACAUCUUUUUACUGGGGUUAGAGUCCGAUUCAAAGUGAACCGUUCUCUCAUUUCGGCUCCUUUUUCUGUUCAUUGGACCAUUAUUUCUAUCGCGAUCGGUAUUUAAGACUAUUUGGUUUUUGAAAUCAUCCAGCUUUCUGGCAACACUGGUCUCAAUGUUUACCAGACUCUCACGAAGAGAAUCGCUGACAGAUUUCAAAAUAGUCUCGAUCGCGUUAGAAACAGCAACAUUUCAAGCGUGAGUUUUCAAAUAGACGUAUGUAACAUCAGCAAGAAUCUGAGAAAAUGGAGUAACAAAUUUCUAUUUGUAUGAAUAAAUGCUAUUUAAAAUUGUUUGCUCUAUGAUCGGGUUUGAUUUUAGCAAGAGUUAAGUGAAAAAAAUAUGUUUUUAUUGUAUGUUUCAACAUACUGUUUUUUUGUCAUUUUCCUAGCGAAUUUGAUAAAAAAAUGUUUUACGCCGUUUUGUCGUGUAAUUUUUACAUACACCCUAAUGAUUCGUCGUUGUGGCAGUUCUUUGUUUACAUACGCCCUAUACUAUUCGUCGCUCGAGCUAAUUGUUUUUAUUUUACGUCAAAUCGGAUACACCAGUAUUAAUCAGUUUAUUUCAGAGAGUCGGUUUGAUAACCAUCAAGUUUGGAUGGAAAAGCAUUGAAAGAAUUAGACAACCAGCACUCGUAUUGAAGCACCGAUCGAAUGUUAUUCGGUAGCACAUAAAAAGCAAUGCUUAGCUCUCUCUCGAAUUUCCCGGCGAGAUCUUCUAGUGGACGUAGCGUAGUGUUUAUUAUUCUAGCUGUAUAUUUCUUUCCAUUCUGUAAUGAAAAUCUGGAAGGAUAUUUUCAUCGGAGAUGAGAUACUCUCGAACACAUACAAGCUGAUGCUGGUUGACGAUGUGAUGUACAGAAUUAACGGGAAGCGUGUGUCGCGCACCCUUGGAGGUGUCCAGGUGGAUGGCGCAAAUUCCCCUGCACCGAAAAUUUCACCGAAUCCAGUGUCGACAUCAUGCUGAGUCAUCGCCUGGUACAGACUGGAUUAGGCGACGAGAAACAGUUCACCCCAUUCCUGAAGGACUACAUGAAGAAAAAUAUUGUAGAAUAAUGUAGCUUUUGUGUAAAAGUUUAUUUUUACAUUUAAAUAAACAUGGAACAAUAAACAAAAAGUAGUGGAAAAAAAAGUAAGCAAAUCAA